UUUAUUCCAUAUGUAUAUUCAAGAUGCUCCUAUAUCGAAGCACCUUUGUUUGAUUAUCACAAUACCUCUGUUAUUUUGCUUUUCAUGCAUGACUUAAAUUUCAAAAUGCUCAGCAAUAUUAAACUUCAUAUACUUGAGUUACAAAAUUUACUUAGUAAGACAGCUUCAAUCUUACGAAGUUCACAGUGCAGUGAUUGAAGAGAAGUGAGGAUAAACAACAAGCCUAAGAAAUGUCUACAACAAACAUAUGGCCUAAGAUACUUUAAUCCUAUAUGUAGGAUUUUACAUAUUCAAGCAAGAGAAUCCCCAGCUUGUGCCCUGCACUUGCCUUUGAACUCUUCUAUGAUGUAUUUAAAGGUAAUAGUUAGUACUCCAUCUUUUCUGUAUCAAUAGCAUAUUGCUAGUUGCGACUUUUGCAUUUUUCCAUGGCUCUUGGUGCUGCAGGAAUCAAACAUAAGUAGAUAAGUACACUUCAAGAUUCAAUAUAUAUAUAUAUGUACAUCAUUUUGUAUCAUUAUGCAGUUGAGUUAUAUCAUGACUGAUGAGGUUUUCAAUGUUAAGACAAGAUAUAAAAGAAAGCACAUAGUUGUAUGAAUCAGUCUCACCUAGUCCAAUUGCUUCAGAACUUUUCAUUAUCCUCAACCUCUUGCAUGAGUCAGUGAACAUCCUAAACAACAACAACAUCAUUUCUCAUGUUGUCCUUUGUUUUGAUUCUGAUAUUAUUAAGAUGAUCAAAUAAAUGUAUUUGCAGAAAAACACAGUUUAACAGAUGUUUACUAUGCAGAGUAAUGCUUUUUUAAGUCUAAACACCAAAUAGAAAUCAAAUCAGAAUAAUGCAAAACAGAGACAUGAUAUGCACUCACUCCCAUGGAACAUCACCAACUAGCAUCCAAUCACCAUCCUUGUCUUCAUAGGUGAGAACAUAUUCUGAACCAUGAAGCAGAUCCAUCAGUCUACUUUCGCUCAACUUAUCUCGACCAGAAACUCCAUGAGAACCACAUUGACCUGCACUUGUCAUUGGUGAAAACAUCAUCAGAAUCUGAAACAUAAAAACCGUUUUAUUGGUAAAGAAUCAUUUGACCUAUUCAUAGCACUCCCGUAAAUAUUCCCCCAGCUCAUGGAACCAACCAGCCUGAGCCUGUGACAUUGGAAGACUUAGGAUUCUGAUUUAAAAGGGUGCCACUUCUGAACAUGAUAAAUUCUUUAUACUUCGCUCAUCAAAAUCAAAUCAAGAGAACAAUUGCUAUAACCAAAGAAUAUUGGAAUUUGAAAGCUAUUCAUAAUUGUACAGUAAGAAGGUAAGAACAACCUUGAAUGGAAUAAUAUGCUUGCAAAGAAAAAUAAAACUCACUGAUUGUAAAACAACUAAACAUCUUUUCCAGUGCUGAAGACAGUUCCAUGUAAGUGCUAAAGUUUUUGAGAUCCACUUUCCUCAAGUAUGGAGCACCAUCCAUGCUAACUUUCACAUAAAGGCACCCUGACUUGGUUUCUGCAUCAUCAUCAUUCUUCUGAGGCUGAGUGGCCAUUGAGUUCUUCCUGAAAGAUCGGAUUGGUGGCCAUCCCACAACCUGUUCCCUGAUCCAAGAAACAGAAAAAUUACACUAUAUUAAAAGGGAAAUUGAGAUAACCAUCAAAGAUCAUAACUUCACAACAAAAAGGAACCCAACCACUAAGCUGGCUAAGGGAAAUGCAAAAUAGAUAAGAACACUGAAGAAAGUUGCAUAAUGAAAAUUGAACUAUUGGUUAUAGGACACUUAAUAAUCCAAGGAGUUCAGUACAAAGUCAUACACAGCAGCAAACAAUUGAUAACCAAGAUGAAGAAGAAAGCUUACAGAACAACCAAAACAACCGAGAUCAUGAUUACCAUGGAAGGAAUACCCCCUAAAUUACAUAGAAAAGAGUUAACAGGUUAUAGAACACUAGAGAGCAACAUGAUAACAUAAUUAGCAACAAGAGUUAAAGAACUCAAAAGCCUCGCCUUGAUAGACUUUACUUAUUUUUCCUUCUUUUCAUUCAAAAUUCAACCAAAUAAUUUUUUCAAAGUAAAACAAAAGAACAAAAAAUCAUUUCUUGUCUCUGAAUUAUCCCAUUUUCUUCUUGAUUCCAACAUUUUCCAAAUAUACAAAAGCUAUAAACAAGACAGCACAAAAAGUGAACAAAGAUAACAUUAACUACAAGAAUACAUAUAUUAUGUGAUGAUGCUAAAGGAAGACGGUGCUACUUUGCAGCAGGAGCAGAUAUCUGAGGUUUCUUCUCAUUCAAAGGUUUUGGAGGCAGAGGAACUUUAUCUUUUACAACAGAAAUUUGUUGGUUGGCAGACUCAGCCUUGGCAGCACUAGCACCAAUACCCCUUGUUGAGAACAAGCCACAAUCUUUU
rnacentral:lncRNA from 1 species